rnacentral:lncRNA from 1 species
AAGAGAAGGGGAAUGAGCCUGAAUGGUCCAAAAAAUAUAUGUAUCUGUAUUGACAUGCAUAAUGCAUCAAGUGUCUCAUUAGCCUUUUUAUCUCUGAGGAAUUUUUGUUUCCCUCUCCCCUAUCCGGUUUGAAAAGACGUGAGAGAACCGCUCCAUGUGGAUGACGAUGUAGCCUUUGAUGAGUGUGGUGAUGCAAAUAUCUAUUAGGGGUCACAUUUGGCUAACUACUGUUGUGGCUAUAGAAUAUAUGAUCAGACCACUAUGGUCGAUGCGGUCGUGCUCAUAAAUCGUACCAUGGUUUUGCAAGCCAAAAAUGUACUUGAGCAAACUAGUAU